rnacentral:rRNA from 1 species
CCUACGGGCGGCUGCAGUGAGGGAUAUUGCGCAAUGGGGGAAACCCUGACGCAGCAACGCCGCGUGGGUGAAGAAGGCCUUUGGGUCGUAAAGCCCUUUUCUAGGGGAAGAGCAAGGACUGUACCCUAGGAAUAAGUCCCGGCUAACUACGUGCCAGCAGCCGCGGUAAAACGUAGGGGGCGAGCGUUAUCCGGAUUUACUGGGCGUAAAGCGCGCGCAGGCGGCUUGGUAAGUUGGGCGUGAAAGCUUCCGGCUUAACCGGGAGAGGCCGUUCAAAACUACCAGGCUUGAGGGCGGAAGAGGGGAGUGGAAUUCCCGGUGGAGUGGUAAAAUGCGUAGAUAUCGGGAGGAACACCAGUAGCGAAAGCGGCUCCCUGGUCCGCAACUGACGCUCAGGCGCGAAAGCGUGGGGAGCAAACGGGCUUAGAUACCCGUGUAGUC